rnacentral:rRNA from 1 species
CCUACGGGUGGCUGCAGUGGGGAAUUUUGGACAAUGGGCGCAAGCCUGAUCCAGCCAUGCCGCGUGAGUGAAGAAGGCCUUCGGGUUGUAAAGCUCUUUCGGCGGGGAAGAAAUUGCACUGGCUAAUACCUGGUGUAGAUGACGGUACCCGCAUAAGAAGCACCGGCUAACUACGUGCCCGCAACCGCGGUAAUACGUAGGGUGCGAGCGUUAAUCGGGAUUACUGGGCGUAAAGCGUGCGCUGUUGAUUCCCCGGGCUCAACCUGGGAACUGCAUUUGAGACUGCACGGCUAGAGGAUGGCAGAGGGGGGUAGAAUGCCACGUGUAGCAGUGAAAUGCGUAGAGAUGUGGAGGAAUACCGAUGGCGAAGGCAGCCCCCUGGGCUAUUUCUGACACUCAUGCACGAAAGCGUGGGGAGCAAACAGGAUUAGAUACCCUUGUAGUC